rnacentral:rRNA from 1 species
UACGUAGGAUGCAAGCGUUGUCCGGAAUUAUUGGGCGUAAAGCGCGCGCAGGCGGUCCUUUAAGUCUGAUGUGAAAGCCCACGGCUCAACCGUGGAGGGUCAUUGGAAACUGGGGGACUUGAGUGCAGAAGAGGAAAGCGGAAUUCCACGUGUAGCGGUGAAAUGCGUAGAGAUGUGGAGGAACACCAGUGGCGAAGGCGGCUUUCUGGUCUGUAACUGACGCUGAGGCGCGAAAGCGUGGGGAGCAAACAGG